AAGGAAUAUUGGACAAUGGAGGCAACUCUGAUCCAGCCAUCCCGCGUGGAGGAAUAAUGCCCUAUGGGUUGUAAACUCCUUUAGCUAGGGAAUAAAUCAGUGGAUUCAUCCGCUGUUGAAGGUACCUAGAGAAUAAGCACCGGCUAACUCCGUGCCAGCAGCCGCGGUAAUACGGAGGGUGCAAGCGUUAUCCGGAUUUACUGGGUUUAAAGGGUGCGUAGGCGGGUUUUUAAGUCAGAUGUGAAAGCCUUGAGCUUAACUCAAGAACUGCGUUUGAUACUGGAGACCUUGAAUUCGAUAGAAGUGGGCGGAAUAAUUCAUGUAGCGGUGAAAUGCUUAGAUAUGAAUUAGAACACCAAUUGCGAAGGCAGCUCACUAUGUCGAUAUUGACGCUGAGGCACGAAAGCGUGGGGAUCAAAC
rnacentral:rRNA from 1 species